rnacentral:rRNA from 1 species
GGGUUGUGAGGUUAAGCGACUAAGCGUACACGGUGGAUGCCCUGGCAGUCAGAGGCGAUGAAGGACGUGCUAAUCUGCGAUAAGCGUCGGUAAGGUGAUAUGAACCGUUAUAACCGGCGAUUUCCGAAUGGGGAAACCCAGUGUGUUUCGACACACUAUCAUUAACUGAAUCCAUAGGUUAAUGAGGCGAACCGGGGGAACUGAAACAUCUAAGUACCCCGAGGAAAAGAAAUCAACCGAGAUUCCCCCAGUAGCGGCGAGCGAACGGGGAGCAGCCCAGAGCCUGAAUCAGUGUGUGUGUUAGUGGAAGCGUCUGGAAAGGCGCGCGAUACAGGGUGACAGCCCCGUACACAAAAAUGCACAUGCUGUGAGCUCGAUGAGUAGGGCGGGACACGUGGUAUCCUGUCUGAAUAUGGGGGGACCAUCCUCCAAGGCUAAAUACUCCUGACUGACCGAUAGUGAACCAGUACCGUGAGGGAAAGGCGAAAAGAACCCCGGCGAGGGGAGUGAAAAAGAACCUGAAACCGUGUACGUACAAGCAGUGGGAGCACGCUUAGGCGUGUGACUGCGUACCUUUUGUAUAAUGGGUCAGCGACUUAUAUUCUGUAGCAAGGUUAACCGAAUAGGGGAGCCGAAGGGAAACCGAGUCUUAACUGGGCGUUAAGUUGCAGGGUAUAGACCCGAAACCCGGUGAUCUAGCCAUGGGCAGGUUGAAGGUUGGGUAACACUAACUGGAGGACCGAACCGACUAAUGUUGAAAAAUUAGCGGAUGACUUGUGGCUGGGGGUGAAAGGCCAAUCAAACCGGGAGAUAGCUGGUUCUCCCCGAAAGCUAUUUAGGUAGCGCCUCGUGAAUUCAUCUCCGGGGGUAGAGCACUGUUUCGGCAAGGGGGUCAUCCCGACUUACCAACCCGAUGCAAACUGCGAAUACCGGAGAAUGUUAUCACGGGAGACACACGGCGGGUGCUAACGUCCGUCGUGAAGAGGGAAACAACCCAGACCGCCAGCUAAGGUCCCAAAGUCAUGGUUAAGUGGGAAACGAUGUGGGAAGGCCCAGACAGCCAGGAUGUUGGCUUAGAAGCAGCCAUCAUUUAAAGAAAGCGUAAUAGCUCACUGGUCGAGUCGGCCUGCGCGGAAGAUGUAACGGGGCUAAACCAUGCACCGAAGCUGCGGCAGCGACGCUUAUGCGUUGUUGGGUAGGGGAGCGUUCUGUAAGCCUGUGAAGGUGUGCUGUGAGGCAUGCUGGAGGUAUCAGAAGUGCGAAUGCUGACAUAAGUAACGAUAAAGCGGGUGAAAAGCCCGCUCGCCGGAAGACCAAGGGUUCCUGUCCAACGUUAAUCGGGGCAGGGUGAGUCGACCCCUAAGGCGAGGCCGAAAGGCGUAGUCGAUGGGAAACAGGUUAAUAUUCCUGUACUUGGUGUUACUGCGAAGGGGGGACGGAGAAGGCUAUGUUGGCCGGGCGACGGUUGUCCCGGUUUAAGCGUGUAGGCUGGUUUUCCAGGCAAAUCCGGAAAAUCAAGGCUGAGGCGUGAUGACGAGGCACUACGGUGCUGAAGCAACAAAUGCCCUGCUUCCAGGAAAAGCCUCUAAGCAUCAGGUAACAUCAAAUCGUACCCCAAACCGACACAGGUGGUCAGGUAGAGAAUACCAAGGCGCUUGAGAGAACUCGGGUGAAGGAACUAGGCAAAAUGGUGCCGUAACUUCGGGAGAAGGCACGCUGAUAUGUAGGUGAAGUCCCUCGCGGAUGGAGCUGAAAUCAGUCGAAGAUACCAGCUGGCUGCAACUGUUUAUUAAAAACACAGCACUGUGCAAACACGAAAGUGGACGUAUACGGUGUGACGCCUGCCCGGUGCCGGAAGGUUAAUUGAUGGGGUUAGCCGCAAGGCGAAGCUCUUGAUCGAAGCCCCGGUAAACGGCGGCCGUAACUAUAACGGUCCUAAGGUAGCGAAAUUCCUUGUCGGGUAAGUUCCGACCUGCACGAAUGGCGUAAUGAUGGCCAGGCUGUCUCCACCCGAGACUCAGUGAAAUUGAACUCGCUGUGAAGAUGCAGUGUACCCGCGGCAAGACGGAAAGACCCCGUGAACCUUUACUAUAGCUUGACACUGAACAUUGAGCCUUGAUGUGUAGGAUAGGUGGGAGGCUUAGAAGUGUGGACGCCAGUCUGCAUGGAGCCGAC